UACAGAGGUGGCAAGCGUUGUUCGGAAUUACUGGGCGUAAAGGGCUCGUAGGCGGCCAACUAAGUCCGACGUGAAAUCCCGAGGCUUAACCUUGGAACUGCGUCGGAUACUGGAUGGCUUGAAUUCGGGAGAGGGAUGCAGAAUUCCAGGUGUAGCGGUGAAAUGCGUAGAUAUCUGGAGGAAUACCGGUGGCGAAGGCGGCAUCCUGGACCGACAUUGACGCUGAUGAGCGAAAGCUAGGGGAGCAAACGGG
rnacentral:rRNA from 1 species